GUGGGGAAUAUUAGGCAAUGGGCGAAAGCCUGACCUAGCAACGCCGCGUGAAGGAAGAAGGCCUUCGGGUUGUAAACUUCUUUUAUGAGGGACGAAGGACGUGACGGUACCUCAUGAAUAAGCCACGGCUAACUACGUGCCAGCAGCCGCGGUAAUACGUAGGUGGCGAGCGUUGUCCGGAUUUACUGGGUGUAAAGGGCGCGUAGGCGGACUGGCAAGUCAGAUGUGAAAUACAGGGGCUCAACCCCUGAACUGCAUUUGAAACUGUUGGUCUUGAGUAUCGGAGAGGCAAGCGGAAUUCCUAGGGUAGCGGUGAAAUGCGUAGAUAUUAGGAGGAACACCAGUGGCGAAGGCGGCUUGCUGGACGACAACUGACGCUGAGGCGCGAAAGCGUGGGGAGCAAACAGGAUUAGAUACCCCAGUAGUCC
rnacentral:rRNA from 1 species